rnacentral:rRNA from 1 species
UACAGAGGGGGCAAGCGUUAUUCGGAAUUAUUGGGCGUAAAGGGCGCGUAGGCGGCCUGGCAAGUGGAAGGUGAAAUCCCUCGGCUUAACCGAGGAACUGCCCUCCAAACUGCUUGGCUUGAGUCCGGGAGAGGUGAGUGGAAUUCCCAGUGUAGCGGUGAAAUGCGUAGAUAUUGGGAGGAACACCAGUGGCGAAGGCGGCUCACUGGACCGGAACUGACGCUGAGGCGCGAAAGCGUGGGGAG